GGAUGAACAGUGGAACAGCAGCAGGGAAGGAAGGAAAGAUGUCACAGGCAGAUGGAAAGGCAGGACAGAAGGACAUCACUGGUAUCAAAAACAUCGCAGGCAGCAAGGUAUAGGGUUGAGGCUUCAAAUCAUACCUCCAUCUUUCAAGCUUGCACGCCCAUCCAGUGGCACACAGGAUUCUUCUGGGAACUCAAGCAUAUCCCCCGCAGACCAAAAAAAUAUAGACUGUACCAAGACUGUUCCUUAGGCCUGGGUCUUCUAGAAAGCCUUCGCAGAAGAAAAGAGGAAACAUAAAGGAGGAAAUGAAUGUGCAAAGAAUGAAUACCUUCAAGACAACGACUGGGCACAAUUUGGCCCAUGCCCCCAGGGGUCAGCUUAAUGGAGUGAAGCCUCGGCCCUUAUUGAGUCCAUGGGAGACUAUUAACUCCUAACAACUCUCCAGCUUUGCUUCAUUAUUUCUCUUAAAGGGUUCGUCAUAGCUGCACUCGCACAGAUUGAUUGCCAGAUUUCUGGCAGCUUUGCUUUUCACUCAUUGUGAAUCACUCUACACUA